AGAGUUUGAUCAUGGCUCAGGAUGAACGCUAGCUACAGGCUUAACACAUGCAAGUCGAGGGGAAGCGACAUCGAAAGCUUGCUUUUGAUGGGCGUCGACCGGCGCACGGGUGAGUAACGCGUAUCCAACCUGCCCACCACUUGGGGAUAACCUUGCGAAAGUAAGACUAAUACCCAAUGACGCCUCUAGAAGACAUCUGAAGGAGAUUAAAGAUUUAUCGGUGAUGGAUGGGGAUGCGUCUGAUUAGCUUGUUGGCGGGUAACGGCCACAAGGCGACGAUCAGUAGGGUUCUGAGAGGAAGGUCCCCANAUUGGAACUGAGACACGGUCCAAACUCCUAGGGAGCA
rnacentral:rRNA from 1 species